AGAGCGAACGCUGGCGGCAGGCCUAACACAUGCAAGUCGAGCGGCCGUAGCAAUACGGCAGCGGCAGACGGGAGAGUAACACGUGGGAACGCGCCCUUCGGUUCGGAAUAACUCAGGGAAACUUGGGCUAAUACCGGAUACGCCCUUACGGGGAAAGAUUUAUUGCCGAAGGAACGGCCCGCGUCCGAUUAGCUUGUUGGUGAGGUAACGGCUCACCAAGGCGACGAUCGGUAGCUGGUCUGAGAGGAUGACCAGCCUCACUGGGACUGAGACACGGCCCAGACUCCUACGGGAGGCAGCAGUGGGGAAUAUUGGACAAUGGGCGCAAGCCUGAUCCAGCCAUGCCGCGUGGGUGAUGAAGGCCCUAGGGUUGUAAAGCCCUUUCGGCGGGGAAGAUAAUGACGGUACCCGCAGAAGAGCCCCGGCUAACUUCGCGCCAGCAGCCGC
rnacentral:rRNA from 1 species